AGUCAGUCUUUGAUGUACCAGUUGAGACUGAGAAGAUGAGAUGUGAGGGCAGUAAUCAGCCAUAGAGGAAGAUGAAUAAGGGAGAUUGUAAAACCAUGCAUCAGCCUGGCAGGGAAUACUCCAUGUUUAUUCAUCUCGACGUUAACACUGUUGAGUAUUAAACACUGCAAUAGAAAAUAAGUUCAUGGAGAUGGACGAGACAAAGCAUCUGUCUUGAUAGAUGUGAGAACAUGUGAUUUGUACCCAGCAGAGUGAAAGUGCCGUGACAGGAGGAGACGCAGAGGCCAUGGGAAACCAGAGCUGGGGGAGUGGAAAAGUCUCCAUUGAAGGAAACAGUUAACCACAAUCACACGGCAAGAGUUGGAAUUCUGGGACAGUGUGACCUAAGUUGUCCUCAGAGAAGGUGCUCAUUUGAGAAGAACAAGGAAUGAUGAGAGACAAGCCAGGAGGCAUCAGAAGGGUCAUAGCAUGGGCCUUGUAGCCAUGCUAAGACCAUCGGUUGCAUCCUGUAGUAGAAAGUGAACCCCAGAACACCAUGUGUGUCGAUGAAUGGAGGACAAAGUCUCAGACUUCUCAGAAGAUUCUGUAUCUACGACCUCACAAAUAUGUGGGCUUCUGUGGGAGGGUGGGGACCAAAGAAUAUGCUAAUCAAAUAUUAUAGUGUAUGUGGAGGCCUUAUGGUGGAAGAACAAUAUAGCACAUUGGAAAAAAGAAAAGGUUUUUUAAACCUGAAGCAAGAGACAGAAGGGGAUUCAUAAAAGAUAAGGUUCCUCCAGUUCUUGUCAUCUCACUUAAUUCUCAUGGAAAUUCUCUGAGGUCUUGGACUCCACCGAAUUACAUUCCAGCUUGCAAAUGGCAGAUUGUGGGACUUCUCGACCUCCGUCAUUGUAUGAGCCAAUUCCUAUGAUAAAGCUUCUCUCAUAUAUAUCUAUAGAUACCUUCCUGGUUCUGUUUCUCUGGAGAAACCUGACUAAUACAGGAAAAGCAUAUAAAUGAAAUCUUCUUAAAAAGGAACUUGGAAGGAAGACGUAAGCUUCCUAAGUAUCACCGAGAGCUUCCAGCCAGCGUCUUCCGAAUUGCCCUACCACACGCAGUUCUUUCUCCAGCUCUGGAACUCUCCUCCCUUACACACUCUGGCAGCCCUCCUCCCCGUGAGACAUCUUGUUCCAGAACAAGAGACACCUAAGAAAAAUAAAUUUACGUGUUGUGAAAACGGACAUACAUCCUUCAGGACUCACGAAAGCUGCCUCCCAGCCUUCCACGCCAUCACGUUGCCUGUGUGCUCUCCGGUGUGUUGAUCACGGUGUCCACAGGAAGAUGAUUCUCUUCAGCCUGAAGCUCGUUUGCCCAUGUGUAGGGCAUUGAAUGUUGGUUUCUCUGGGUUAAAUCACGGCGAGGAAGGCCUGCUGGGAGGACGCCGUGCAGAGCUGCAGUGACGUCCUCCACCACCGCCCUGCGUGACUCCACCUGUGACACGGCGCCAGCCUAGGGAGUCUCCCCGGAAUUACCUUCAAGAAAAUGCUGGGUUCAGGCCUCCUCUCCCUUCCCGUACUCUCAAAACCUGAGCCCUAAUUUUAAUUUUCUCUGAUGAACCUGAAAAGAUGCCCACUUUUGAUUCCUGAAAAGUUGUCCACAAGGAGUAAAAUAAUUCGAUUUAACGGAUGAAGAAGGACUUCUGGAAUCCACUUGCCCGCAUUUAGAAUGUUCCGUACCAGGGAAUAUCAAGGUACUCCCGUUUGGUUACAUCUGUGCCGACGAGGUAAUCGUGGUUUAAGGCAAACCUUCGGUUAUGAGCUAAUCAGUUCAGCUCGCUGACUAUUGGCCUGUUAUGGCAGGACAAGAAUAAUUAAGUGCCACUUAAAGGUAUGGGAAGAACGUUAGUCAGAAAUUGAUGUGCCUCCAGAAGGCUCCAAAUGGCCGACGUUUAAUGGUCCUCUGUACGUUGCCAUGGCAACUCACUUUGGUACCUCACAUAUCCUCAGUGUAAGAAAACAAGGGGCAGAGUGUUCUUAGGAAGGUGCAACCCCCUUUAAGCAGAUCUAGAAGCAUCGCAGAUGAACAGAACUUGAAACAUUCCGCCAUGAAUAUUCAUGAAGUAAGUUGUUUUUUGUUGCCUGCCUAGUCAGCAGUCACAAAACACAUGGUGUGUGUUGGCAGCAUCUUGCCUAGGUAGAGGGCUAUGGACUGAGGCAAUGGCAGCAACCAGGACCUGUGAGGCUGACUGACAUUUCCAUCUGUAGCGAAGGCUGGUAAUUAACAGGAAGGAGUAUGCCUGCAGCAUUGCACCAUCUGCUAGGGAAACGGCUCAAUAAGAAAGGAGCUGGAUAGCAUCUCAGCGGUGGCGCGAUCUGGUUCCGACAUGAGGCCGGGCAUCUGUUAGCUGAGGAGACGGACUAUUAGGGAAUUCGACUGGGAAUGAACAACAUGGAAAGCGCACUCUGACCUAGCCCAUAAAAGCAACUCUUUAGAAAUGGUGUCUUUUUAUCUUACUUACCCAAGCCUUCUGAAAAUGGUUUGCCAAGGGACUAUUACAGGUCUGUUUGAAGGAAC